GUGGGGAAUAUUGGACAAUGGGCGCAAGCCUGAUCCAGCCAUGCCGCGUGAGUGAUGAAGGCCUUAGGGUUGUAAAGCUCUUUCACCGGUGAAGAUAAUGACGGUAACCGGAGAAGAAGCCCCGGCUAACUUCGUGCCAGCAGCCGCGGUAAUACGAAGGGGGCUAGCGUUGUUCUGAAUUACUGGGCGUAAAGCGCACGUAGGCUGAUAUUUAAGUCAGGGGUGAAAUCCCGGGGCUCAACCCCGGAACUGCCUUUGAUACUGGGUAUCUUGAGUAUGGAAGAGGUCAGUGGAAUUGCGAGUGUAGAGGUGAAAUUCGUAGAUAUUCGCAGGAACACCAGUGGCGAAGGCGGCUGACUGGUCCAUUACUGACGCUGAGGUGCGAAAGCGUGGGGAGCAAACAGGAUUAGAUACCCCGGUAGUCC
rnacentral:rRNA from 1 species